UGCUAGUGUCGAACUCCACUGC
rnacentral:siRNA from 1 species